rnacentral:rRNA from 1 species
UACGUAGGGUGCGAGCGUUAAUCGGAAUUACUGGGCGUAAAGCGUGCGCAGGCGGUUUUGUAAGCCCGAUGUGAAAGCCCCGGGCUCAACCUGGGAACUGCAUUUGGGACUGCAAGGCUGGAGUACGGCAGAGGGAGGUGGAAUUCCACGUGUAGCAGUGAAAUGCGUAGAGAUGUGGAGGAACACCGAUGGCGAAGGCAGCCUCCUGGGCUAGUACUGACGCUCAUGCACGAAAGCGUGGGGAGCAAACAGG